GCGGCGGGCAGGGCGCAGGGCGAGGGGUGCAGCCACCGGGAGCCCCCCACACCGGACCCCGAGCAUUGAGACUGCAGUGCCCACCCAGCCGGAGCGUCAUCCUUGGCAGGACCCCACCAGGAGGGAUGUACCAGGGAUGCUGGACACCCAGGCCCCGCCACCCCAAAACAACGUCUCCACGUAAACCCAAGCGACCUUCCCUGGGGUGGGUGUGACCUGCCCUCCCCACCACUCUCAGGGCAGUUUUCUCCACCUGUAGCUCCCCCGGGCUCCCCAGGGUUCCUGGUCCUUCUCCUCUGUGUUUCCUGCUUGCUCCUAAAACUCAGCUUUCAGGCGGAACACACAGCCCGGAACCACCCUGCUCUCAGGCGGAACCCGCGAGCACACGCAGCAGAGCUCUGCUCUUCCUGGGGUUUUAAGGAUGAGACAUUGCAAGGUCCCCCGGGCUACACAGUGACCCCUCUGGCAGGUUGUGCCCCCAGAGUUCAUGGUUAGAAUCCAAACUCUCAGUACCAACAACGCGAGCGUGUGUGGAGAAGGGGCUACGAGACAGUUAAAUGUGGUCAGUGUGACGGAAGGAAAUGCGGGUUUUUCUCCAGACCGUCUUGUGCAAGGAGAAGAAGCCUUGAAAAGAAGAGGCACAAACUAUCAGGAACGUCCUCGAAGAGAUGAGCGAAAGCACGUGGCCACAGAAAACCAUGAGGAUGCAACAGAAAGAACGACUCCGAGGGGCCGGGCGUGGCGGCUCACGCCUGUCAUCCCAGCACUAUGGGAGGCCGAGGCGGGCGGAUCAUGAGGUCAGGAGAUCGAGACCAUCCUGGCCGACACGUAGAGACAGGGUUUCAUCAUGCUGACCACGCUUGUCUCGAACUCCUGACCUCAAGUGAUCCGCCCGCCUUGACCUCCCAAAUGCGAACCACUGUGUCCGGCCACAAGCAUAACUUUGAUAGAAAAGGCAAUAACAAAUUAAGUUGGUGCGAGCUUUACCCUCUGAGUCCUCGGAAUCAUUUUUAAAACAUAAAGGUUUCCAGAACUCACAGCUGUGAACUUAACUGUUCUCAAGGGGGUAUCUUUGAUUGAUUUUCCUAACUCUUCUACGAUAAUCGGCCUUUUCCCCUCUUCUGCUUCCUCUCGUUCUGGCAGCCGAUGCUCACAUCCAUAACAGUGUCUGUUUCCCUGGAUUUUCCCAUCCCAGGGCCACGCAGAGUGCAGCUCCCCUACACGGCCACGGCAUUCUGUCCCUCUGUCGCGUGGCCAUGCGUGGCUCAGUGCCGUGGGAGCCUCUCCGUGUCUGAGGCCGAGGGCAGGCUGGUGCCCCAUUCGCUCUGUGCCUCACAGGCGGCCCUGAUGCUCUGUGCUCCAAAUCUCUGCAGGACUGGAUUUCGGCCGGGACAGAGGAGGCUGUGCCCCCACCCACGUUGUUCCCAAUGCCCACGCACCUUGUCAACUGGAAUAAAUUUGGUUUCCCUGCAAGAGCUCUCUGCCAGGAAAUGUAAAUCAUGGCUUCUCAGUCUCUCUCCCCCUCUGAGGGCCCCCUGGCUGGGUCAUUCACAGGCCCCGAGGAA
rnacentral:lncRNA from 1 species